rnacentral:lncRNA from 1 species
UGCCUGUAUCAAAUUGGUCUACAUUAAGGUCAAAGGGGUCCAAAAUAAAUUUUAUCAAAAAUCGUUGUAUAGGGGUUCUUUGAUAUGCUAAAUCUAACUGUGGUUUUAGAUUUUUUUUUUUUUUUUUAAAUUUAUUUGAUUUUAUCAAAAAUUGGAUUCUUGGGACUCUUUGAUAUGCUGAAUCAAUCCAUGGCCAUGUAUUUAGAUUUCGGAUAUUGGACCAUAAACGGUAAAGGAGAAAGGACUAUAAUGGCAAAAAUUUCAUUAGACCACAUUCAUUCUGUGUCAGAAACCUAUGCUGUGUCAACUCUUUAAUCACAAUCAAAAUUCAGAGCUGUAUCAAGCUUGAAUGUUGUGUCCA